ensembl:lncRNA
ACCUGGCCAUGGGAAGUAGCUUGUCUAGAGUAGGAGAGAACAGAGACCUGGCAAGUGUGAAACAAAAUGGACACAGGGAAGGCAGAGAGAACAAGACAUCAUUCAUGCCCUGGAACAGAAGUAAACUUAGAGUUGGUAACAUAACUGGGCUUGUUUGUUGGGAGAAAAGAAGAUAACAACACCUCCCUUACAGGAUUACUGAGGACUGGAUGAAAUAGUGCUAGUCAAAUGCUGUGUCCACAGACUGGCAGGUGACGAAGGACAAGAGGACAGGGUGGAGCACUGAGCAUGUCUGGGCGCAGUUAGGAGCGGCUGACACCAUAACACCCACCUAGAAGCAGCUUCGGCCUGCUGCCCGCCUGGAGCAGGGUGCUCCCCAUAGACUGGCCAUGGAGACACCUUUGGGUGUCAUCCGUGAGACCUCGAAAAUAGAUUCCUCUCUGAGCUCUAGUCCUGUCCAACAUUGACUUCUACCCAACGUGGCAGAGCAGAAGCCACGUGGGAGACAUAAACGGAGCCCACACCCUUAGCCAAAGGCUGGCUGCCACCAGACAGCUGGCCGGGAUGCUGCUGUCAGCGGAGAAUGUGCUUGUCACCGAGAACGCCAGGAAUCCGCCUGUUCUGGGCUCUGCCUCUCCAGCUAAACGAUUUCCACUUGCUGCCUGCGUGAGG